GACGAACGCUGGCGGCGUGCUUAACACAUGCAAGUCGAACGGAGAGGCCCUGCUUUUGUGGGGUGCUCGAGUGGCGAACGGGUGAGUAACACGUGAGUAACCUGCCCUUGACUUUGGGAUAACUUCAGGAAACUGGGGCUAAUACCGGAUAGGAGCUCCUGCUGCAUGGGGGGGGUUGGAAAGUUUCGGUGGUUGGGGAUGGACUCGCGGCUUAUCAGCUUGUUGGUGGGGUAGUGGCUUACCAAGGCUUUGACGGGUAGCCGGCCUGAGAGGGUGACCGGCCACAUUGGGACUGAGAUACGGCCCAGACUCCUACGGGAGGCAGCAGUGGGGAAUAUUGCACAAUGGGCGGAAGCCUGAUGCAGCAACGCCGCGUGCGGGAUGACGGCCUUCGGGUUGUAAACCGCUUUCGCCUGUGACGAAGCGUGAGUGACGGUAAUGGGUAAAGAAGCACCGGCUAACUACGUG
rnacentral:rRNA from 1 species